GUCCUUGCCGUAAACGAUGUAUACUUGGUGUAACUGGACUCAACCCCAGUUGUGCCGGAGCUAACGCGUUAAGUAUACCGCCUGGGGAGUACAGUCGCAAGGCUGAAACUCAAAAGAAUUGACGGGGACCCGCACAAGCAGUGGAGCAUGUGGUUUAAUUCGAUGCAACGCGAAGAACCUUACCCAGACUUGACAUGCAGUAGACCGAUCCAGAAAUGGAUCUUUCCUUCGGGACUGCUGCACAGGUGCUGCAUGGCUGUCGU
rnacentral:rRNA from 1 species